rnacentral:rRNA from 1 species
GACGAACGCUGGCGGCGUGCUUAACACAUGCAAGUCGAACGGAAAGGCCCUGCCUUUGUGGGGCGCUCGAGUGGCGAACGGGUGAGUAACAAGUGAGUAACCUGCCCUUGACUUUGGGAUAACUUCAGGAAACUGGGGCUAAUACCGGAUAGGAGCUCCUGCUGCAUGGUGGGGGUUGGAAAGUUUCGGCGGGUGGGGAUGGACUCGCGGCUUAUCAGCUUGUUGGUGGGGUAGUGGCUUACCAAGGCUUUGACGGGUAGCCGGCCUGAGAGGGUGACCGGCCACAUGGGGACUGAGAUACGGCCCAGACUCCUACGGGGGGCAGCAGUGGGGAAUAGUGCACAAGGGGCGGAAGCCUGAUGCAGCAACGCCGCGUGCGGGAUGACGGCCUUCGGGUUGUAAACCGCUUUCGCCUGUGACGAAGCGUGAGUGACGGUAAUGGGUAAAGAAGCACCGGCUAACUACGU